UCAGCUUCCUUUGCCAUCAGGCUUAGAUCAAUAUGUAGUAUCUGUUCUCACAAGAGUGAUAUCUUGUGGCCAGUCUACGGACCGGCGAUAUCGAUCACUAUUAUUUUUGCAUCCGUUCUCGCUCGUUUUCUGACUUGUCAGAACGGCGGGAAGCUGGUGGCUGGGUAUUACACUGUCUCCCAGACGCCGCGCAUUG
rnacentral:snRNA from 1 species